rnacentral:misc_RNA from 1 species
GACGCUCUUGCUCUGCAAAUUGGCUUUAUAAAAGCAGAAAAAUAACAGAAAAAAACAAUCUAAACAGAUGAUGAAUACAUGAACUCAAAUCAAGUUAAAGGAGCAUAAAAAAUAAGCAAACCCAAUCUACCCACACACACAGACAGACAUAUGAAGCUAAUGGGUCAUGAAAUGUACAUCAUCCAGCGUAGAAUCCUCAAGAAAAAUAGUGACAUAAAUCAAGAGGGUAUUAUUGGUGGACGAUUCAUAAUAUUGCACAGGUUUUGAGCUCA